rnacentral:rRNA from 1 species
GACGAACGCUGGCGGCGUGCUUAACACAUGCAAGUCGAACGGAAAGGCCCUGCUUUUGUGGGGUGCUCGAGUGGCGAACGGGUGAGUAACACGUGAGUAACCUGCCCUUGACUUUGGGAUAACUUCAGGAAACUGGGGCUAAUACCGGAUAGGAGCUCCUGCUGCAUGGUGGGGGUUGGAAAGUUUCGGCGGUUGGGGAUGGACUCGCGGCUUAUCAGCUUGUUGGUGGGGUAGUGGCUUACCAAGGCUUUGACGGGUAGCCGGCCUGAGAGGGUGACCGGCCACAUUGGGACUGAGAUACGGCCCAGACUCCUACGGGAGGCAGCAGUGGGGAAUAUUGCACAAUGGGCGGAAGCCUGAUGCAGCAACGCCGCAUGCGGGAUGACAGCCUUCGGGUUGUAAACCGCUUUCGCCUGUGACGAAGCGUGAGUGACGGUAAUGGGUAAAGAAGCACCGGCUAACUACGUG